CUUGAAGACAUGGGGGCAGAGGAGACGACCACAGCCUUACGCAGGAAUCAGCAUUGAUGAAGGAGAUACUAAUUAGUUCAGCACACAGGGACUGGAAUGAAGGAUUCAUCAUGUUUUAUUACCUACUUUGUAUAUGAAACAAAAGUAUAGAGGAUAGGUGUGAAAAGUACUGGCAGUGCCACUGGAGUUCUCUAUAAGGUUGUUCCUCUGCUUCAAUGCAAGACUUUCCAGCAUUCAGUACCUGUUUGAUUCUCCGUUGCCGACUUCGCCUGUUCUGGACCCCGUCUCCCUGCCUCCUCCCUGGUGAACUUACCUGUCGUCUGCCUCCGUACCUGUCUUCUGCCUCUGACCUCGUUUGGACUCCUGGUUUCGACUUCUCCGCCUGUCUCCGAUACACCGCCUGCCUGCUCCCUGACAGAAACGACAAAACUUCAAGAGAGUAUCCUUUAACCACCACGACAUUCAGUCAGUGACUGCAUCUGAUGCCUAAAAACUUAAGAUGAAAAGACCAACAGGCAACAGCUAUGGUGAAGUUAUGAUGAAGGAUCCAAGGUGCCUGUACUAUCACUACAUUUUGGACCAUAUCACCUGAGAACAAGCCAAAGUCUUUUUGGAUUACAAAACUGUCUUCGGCCCAGUGCAUCACAUCAGGAAGAAAAACUAUGGGGUCCUGUCAGUUCUCUCAUUUAUUCUGGGAUUAUAAGGAUGUGUCCUGGCCUGGUUGAUGACUAUAGAGACUACCAACAGGUUUUCUGAGCAAACAAUGGACAUGCUGGAUGCUCCUAUUUGUCACAAGGGGUUUACAGUUGCUUGGAGGAAAGAGAAGAAGAAGUAAAAGAAAUGCAGCUCAACAUCUGAGUGUGAAAUCAUCCAACUAGAAUCGACCCAAACUACGUCAAUAUCCCUUCCACAACACGGACAUGCAGAUUCAAGUAGAAGGGAACGCAGUGAAUCAGCAGGAUGGAGACUUUGCACCAGGAAUAAGAGGGGGACACACCACCUGGUGGACUUAUGGUCGCCUGCUGAUGGGUGUGGUUGUUGUCAUUGCCUUGCUGAAGCUGCAACUGCCACCAUGGACAAGGAGGCCACUACUGAAGGCUCUGUCAUACCUUCUGAAGAAGAUACUCCAAACCUUCAUCAGAACACUGACUGGUUCUGAGGAAUUUACUUGCCUUGUUAUAGAUGUCACCUUUGGGGUUUUGGGAGAUUACAUUGACAUCUGAAUGAUUAUUUUCAGUUAAAUGAGCUCUGCCUCCAAAAAUAAAACUCUUUGGAUGAGCUGCUUGAAAA